GACGAACGCUGGCGGCGUGCUUAACACAUGCAAGUCGAACGCGCCUGUCCUCUGGGUUUCUGGGGGUGGGUGAGUGGCGAACGGGUGAGUAACACGUGAGUAACCUGCCCCCUUCUUCGGGAUAACGGUCUGAAAGGGCUGCUAAUACCGGGUAUUCACUGGUCUCCGCAUGGGGUCUGGUGGAAAGGUUUUUUUCUGGUGGGGGAUGGGCUCGCGGCCUAUCAGCUUGUUGGUGGGGUGAUGGCCCACCAAGGCUUUGACGGGUAGCCGGCCUGAGAGGGUGACCGGUCACAUUGGGACUGAGAUACGGCCCAGACUCCUACGGGAGGCAGCAGUGGGGAAUAUUGCACAAUGGGCGCAAGCCUGAUGCAGCGACGCCGCGUGAGGGAUGGAGGCCUUCGGGUUGUGAACCUCUUUCGCCCGUGGUCAAGCCGCGACGUGGGUCGUGGUGAGGGUAGUGGGUAAAGAAGCGCCGGCUAACUACGUG
rnacentral:rRNA from 1 species